UACGUAGGGUGCAAGCGUUGUCCGGAAUUAUUGGGCGUAAAGAGCUCGUAGGCGGUUCGUCGCGUCGGCUGUGAAAACCUGAGGCUCAACCUCAGGCCUGCAGUCGAUACGGGCGGACUUGAGUACUGCAGGGGAGACUGGAAUUCCUGGUGUAGCGGUGAAAUGCGCAGAUAUCAGGAGGAACACCGGUGGCGAAGGCGGGUCUCUGGGCCGAUACUGACGCUGAGGAGCGAAAGCGUGGGGAGCGAACAGG
rnacentral:rRNA from 1 species